rnacentral:rRNA from 1 species
CUUCUGGAAACGGAUGCUAAUACCGCAUAUACCCUGAGGGGGAAAGAUUUAUCGCUUUAAGAUUGGCCCAUGGCAGAUUAGGUAGUUGGUGGGGUAAAGGCCUACCAAGCCGACGAUCUGUAGCUGGUCUGAGAGGACGAUCAGCCACAUUGGGACUGAGACGCGGCCCAGACUCCUACGGGAGGCAGCAGUGAGGAAUAUUGGGCAAUGGGGGCAACCCUGACCCAGCCAUGCCGCGUGAGUGAAGAAGGUUUUCGAAUUGUAAAGCUCUUUCGGAUGUGACGAUGAUGACGGUAGCAUCUAAAGAAGCCCCGGCAAACUUCGUGCCAGCAGCCGC